rnacentral:misc_RNA from 1 species
AACGUUUAGAGAGUGGAUGGCGGAAACGUCGUCCUCUACCAUCUCCAAACCAAUCUGUGAAACCUCCCUUUUCUCUUUUAAAAACCACAUCUCUGUAAAUGUCAUUGUCUGAAAUAUAAUUAAAACAAGUUA